rnacentral:rRNA from 1 species
UACGAAGGGGGCUAGCGUUGUUCGGAAUUACUGGGCGUAAAGCGCACGUAGGCGGCUUUUUAAGUCAGAGGUGAAAGCCCGGGGCUCAACUCCGGAAUUGCCUUUGAGACUGGGAGGCUUGAACGUCGGAGAGGUGAGUGGAAUUCCGAGUGUAGAGGUGAAAUUCGUAGAUAUUCGGAAGAACACCAGUGGCGAAGGCGGCUCACUGGACGACUGUUGACGCUGAGGUGCGAAAGCGUGGGGAGCAAACAGG